rnacentral:misc_RNA from 1 species
GAUGAAGAACGUAGCGAAAUGCGAUAAGUAAUGUGAAUUGCAGAAUUCAGUGAAUCAUCGAAUCUUUGAACGCACCUUGCGCCCUUUGGCUAUUCCAGAGGGCAUGCCUGUUUGAGUAUCAUGAACACCUCAACUCUCAUGGUUCUGCCAUGAUGAGCUUGGACUUUGGAGGUCUUGCUGGCCCCUGUGGUCAGCUCCUCUCAAAUGGAUCAGCUUGCCAGUGUUUGGUGGCAUCACAGGUGUGAUAACUAUCUACGCUUGUGGUUUUCCACCAGGUAACCUUCAGUGAUGGAGGUUCGCUGGAGCUCAUAAACGCCUCUCCUCAGCGAGGACAGCUUCUUGAACGUUUGAUCUCAAAUCAGGUAGGGCUACCCGCUGAACUUAAGCAUAUCAAUAAGCGGAGGA